rnacentral:lncRNA from 1 species
AUGAGGAAACUGUAUUUGCUCACCACCCCUGCUCAAGUUAGCCGCCUUCAGGGACCUCCAAACCAGCCAUCGCUCGGCGUAACUUACAGCUGGCGCUCCGGCUACCCUUCGCCCUCCGCCUCGAUCACUUUUUACAGCUCAAUCCCGUGCUCGAUGCGAGAACCUUGCCACCGGACCCCGACACGGCAACUCCACCCGCCGACACCCCCGGGGCCCCCCCAGGGCCCCCAGCCCCGCGCCGCUCCCGCAGCUGCCCCGGUCAGUCUCCGGGGAGCAGCAGCAGCAGCAGCACAUCCCUGCGGGUCGGAGCCCCGCGGUACCGGAUCUUUGUCUGCGGGCACGGCAAGGCUCCCUCCCAGCGGCUGGACCCCGUGCCGGGCUGCCGAGGCUCCUCCAGGAUUCCUUCCCAUGCCUGGCAGCUGUGUUUCUCCGGGAUGUUUCGCCCUUGUCCUCUCACCCAGGGUGGUGCCAGGAGCCCAGGAGCUGCUCGUGGAGUUAGCGCGGCUCCUCCUGCACCCUGGCGUUGUCCCCUUGUCCUCAGAGGAGCACAGGGCUUCAGGUUCCUGAGCAUGACACCACAAGCUCAGGGCAGCGUGCAUCGCUCUGCUCUGCCCUAAACCCAGCACCCGCAGCCAGCCUUGCACCUCUGCUGCACGGCGAGCAGCCCUGACACAGAAAGCCUUUGGUUCUGAGGCACUUCCCUCCCUGCUCGGCAUCCAAACGUUGCUGCAGAACGGCCCUUCUGUGCAUGCCACCGCGAGGCCGCGGAGCUUAGAGUAAGUGUUGCUGGCACGGCGCCACGCAGCACUGCCAAAGUGCCCAUGGGUUCAGCUCUGUAUUAAAAUCUGGAUGUGCUUCAGGAUGCUUCAGAGCACAAGACCACGGGGAAGCUGGGAGAUCCUCGCUGCCGAGCGGUUCACAGAGCUGCAAGUGGGAAUCCAGACCCUCAGCUCCCACCGCAGCCCUGUCGGCGAGGGGAUCACAUCAGCCCAGCCCUUCUCCAUCUGAGGUGGAAGCAACAGGCUUUUGAAGUUUGCAUGAAAAAUAGAAGGUUUGGGGUUUAAUGCUCCUUUGCUAAUCUUGUCAGAUGCCUAGCAGCUUAUGAGAGGAGACACUGAAAAGUUGAUCCAAUCUGUGGGAUAGAUAUAGAUACUUUUGGACAGGUUCCUAAUGCAGGUUCCUAAGCACAUUUACAAAUCUAGAUUCAUGUGACUGACACAGAGCUGCCUCAUAAACUUUUGGUGCCCUGGAGCUUCUAGCCAAGACUUGCAAGUAAAUGAUUGUCCCAUGGGUGUAAGCUAUUAAUCAUCAGCAUCAUGAAACGGAGUUUUCACAUACGGCUACCACCCAAAAAUCUUUAUUAUUCCUUUGCACACUUCACGCCCCUAUGACGUAAAAACUUGGAAGACAAUUAAUAAUGUAAGCCCAGGAGGCACUAGUACCUAGUGAUCCACCGAGCACAGGACUGCCAGUCAGUCACCCCUUUACCUGUUCAAGGAUUUGUAGUGGCAAGGCGCCGUAGCUGACAGCAAAGGCACCUACCUAAGCAGUUUGCUUGCUACAGGAUACGUUGGCAUGUUGCCACCAGAGCUGAUGGGGGUGUAUAGAGUACAGUGUCCACCAGUCUAUGGGUAGCACCCCGUUGUUUCACGUCUUGUGACUGCAGCCAACCCAGCCAUUCCAGCAGCAAGCUGUUCAGAAGGCAAAGUCCCGGUGUGCAUUCGCAGUACCUGGCUUGGAGGUCACUGCUCAUGGCUAAGCUCUCAGCAGCUAUUCCUUCCCUUUGAUCAGAUCUUCAGAGCAAACGCACACACCCAUAUUCUUGUCAUGUGUGCCACUUGAUAACAGGCUGGUGUGUAGAUACUGUGGGAUGGCUUUUGCUCACCUUUAACAUAAUAAAUUAGUAUAAAAUCAAAAGACCA